rnacentral:rRNA from 1 species
AGCGAACGCUGGCGGCAGGCCUAACACAUGCAAGUCGAACGAACCCUUCGGGGUUAGUGGCGGACGGGUGAGUAACACGUGGGAACGUGCCCUUAGGUUCGGAAUAACUCAGGGAAACUUGUGCUAAUACCGAAUGUGCCCUUCGGGGGAAAGAUUUAUCGCCUUUAGAGCGGCCCGCGUCUGAUUAGCUAGUUGGUGAGGUAAUGGCUCACCAAGGCUACGAUCAGUAGCUGGUCUGAGAGGAUGACCAGCCACAUUGGGACUGAGACACGGCCCAAACUCCUACGGGAGGCAGCAGUGGGGAAUCUUGCGCAAUGGGCGAAAGCCUGACGCAGCCAUGCCGCGUGGAUGAUGAAGGUCUUAGGAUUGUAAAAUCCUUUCACCGGUGAAGGUAAUGACUGUAGCCGGAGAAGAAGCCCCGGUUAACUUCGUGCCAGCCGCCGCUGUAAUAC